GUUGGUUUCUUGGGCUACUAGAAUUGCUGAAACUCCAAAGACUGACUUUGAUUUUUUGAAAGCCUUGUUUCCUAUAAGUAAAUUAUGAAUCUUCAAAAGUUCAUAUUUGGACAUUGAAACUCAGGUUCUAAAUGUUUCUUGUAUUGUUUUUAGGUUGCUGUGGCACACACAAUUGGGCAUGUGGCUACAACAGUGAGCAUGUCAAAAGUUGCAGUUUCCUUUACUCACAUAAUUAAGAGUGGAGAGCCUGCUUUCAGUGUUUUUGUUUCAAGUUUACUUUUGGGUGAAACUUUCCCAUUGCCAGUGUACCUUUAACUUAUGCCUAUUAUUGGUGGUUGUGCACUUGCUGCCAUUACUGAGCUCAACUUCAAUCUAACAGGUGAACAAGAAAAUGCAUGUUUCACCUUUUUGACCACCCCCUUAAUUACAAUCUAGAUUUUAGGCUGCAUUAUAUCUGCCAUUAAUUUUAGAAUUCUGUAAUUUUUAAUCUUGAUAACAUGCAGGUUUUAUGGGGGCACUGAUAUCAAACUUGGCAUUUGUAUUCAGAAACAUAUUCUCAAAGAAAGGGAUGAAGGGGAAGUCAGUUGGAGGGAUGAAUUACUAUGCAUGUCUUUCAAUGAUGUCUCUUUUGAUUCUGACUCCUUUUGCUAUUGUUGUUGAGGGUCCACAAGUAUGGGCACUUGGAUGGCAGAAAGCAGUCUCCCAAAUUGGCCCAAAUUUCAUAUGGUAUGUACAUAGUUUUUAGAGAAAACAUCACUUUGGUUAUAUUUGUAAAUCUCCACAAUUGACGUUAAAAAAAUAAUACAAAUGUCAUGUAAAGGUACUUAAUUGAAUGAAAGAUCCCAAAUCACUUUCAGUUGGUUUGAAGCAGUGUAUGUCAUCUCACAUGUUUCCCUUUGGAAUCAGGCUCAUAUGUGUGGUUCUGGUUUGCAUAAUAAAAAAAGGCAGUCUGAUCCACUAAGUUUUCACUAUGCAUAGGGUCCGGAAAAGGAUCGGAUCGCAAGAGUCUAUUGUACGCAGUCUUACCCUGUAAUUCUGCAAGAGGUUAUUUCCACAGCUUGAACCUGUAACCUUCUAGUUACAUGGCAACAACUUUACCAAUUACGCCAAGAAUCCCCUUUUGUUUGCAUAGUAAAAGUGGUCCAAAAAACUCACAAGAGCUUAAAAAAUACUGUAAACCGAAUAUUUGAAAGAUUCUGUAAACUGAUGUCUGUUUGAUUGCUAUUUUUUUUUGUUAGGUGGGUAGUGGCCCAAAGUGUGUUCUAUCACUUUGUACAAUCAAGUCUCUUACAUGUCCCUAAAUGAGAUCUCUCCACUCACAUUUAGCAUUGGUAACACUAUGAAGAGAAUUUCUGUCAUAGUCUCAUCCAUCAUCAUCUUCCAAAUUCCAAUACAACCAUUUAAUGCCCUUGGUGCUGCCAUUGCAAUCUGUGGAACUUUCCUCUACUCACAGGUAAAUAGAUUUCAAAAGUAGUUAUAUUAUUUGAUAUUGUCAGUGUCAGUUUCUUUUCAUAUUUACUUGGGGACCAAUAAAGAUCCAUCAACUGAUCAAUCUAGCAUAUGGACAACUUGUUACUUCAUCCUAGAGUUAUCACUGCACACCAUGCUUAGACAACUAGAAGGAUUGUGACCACUCAAGAGAAACCUUUGAUUCACUUAUAAAAAUUAGAGCUAAAUUUGUUUUUCUUGUUUUAUUAUUGCAGGCUAAGCAGUAAGUGAAGUUUGGCGAGGUAAAUGAAAAGAAAGGUGGAAGUAAAAAAAAGACAGCACUAGACUAACAGUUGUUGUAGAUGAGAUAAGAUCAUAUAUCUUAGUGACUAUUAUUUUUUCUUCCUAGCAAAUGACUGGAAACGUCAAGAAAACCAAAAUGCUGCCUCAUCCAAGCUGCAACUCUCAUCCAAAAAUUUCUAUCAACAUUUCUACUGUAGAUAAUAUGAGAAUAUAUUGUAUGAAGUGUUCAAUGAUUAUAAAUUCUAAAUAUUCAGUUAGCUCUAUUUCAUAUUUGGAAUUAUUUACCUGUAAAACAGUACGGUUGAAUUUGUUACGUGCUUUAUAGACAAGCGAACUGAUUUGAUCCGAAAUGAUAAAUAAAUUAGAUUAAAAGUAAGACUUAGCGAUUAGAAUCGAAAGAAAUGGCAAGCCUGACUCAGAGAGCAAUGCCAUCCGAGGACAUAAAUAAGAGCAAUGUAAAACAAAAAAUAAAGUUAUUUUAUUUAGCUUGAGAAUAUAUAUAAUGCAUCAUAAGUUUUGCUAAAGAUUUCGUGUCUUACCAUGGUUAUUGAGUCUACUAUUUAUAGUUAUACCUAAGGAAACAAGGUCCUACGAUUAAGCCCCUUUUAAAUGACAAUAAAGGCGAAUAUUAAUGAAUAUGUAACAGCAGGCCAUGAAUGAUAUUCUCUGCAACGGUUGUCCAUUUAAUACCAGGGAAUAUUCUUCAUUGAAUGCUAUCCGAUGGCAAGCAUUUGAUCCCAACCACGUUGAUCAUAUUCCCUUCGGGGUUAGUCCGAUGUCAAUCACAACUGUUGUUCCCAGUACUGGUUAAUACACAAUUUACUUUCUACAUGUCUUCGGUUCCACGUGUCAUGUUGCCAAUUGUUCAUUGAAUGUAAACUAAUUUUACCCUAUACAGAUAGUCCCCCUACUUUCCGGUGGCAUAGUCACCAGGAAGUUGGUGAAGAUCCCUUUCUUGGCUAGAAAUCUUCUGAAAACCUUCUGAACAGUCUCUGACGCUUUAAAGGACGCACGUCUUCUGGCAUUUAAUACCCUAAACACGUUUUGCCCCAUGAUUUAACAAUAUUUUUGCCGGUUCUCGAGGUAAUCAUGAGCAUGAUUUUUUCCAUAUAUAUCUAUACUUAUACUCAUCAUCUUACCUAUUUCACUUCUAAAAUUUUCAUAAGUUUCUUACCUUUUUUGCACUUAACCUUCUUUUUCUUUCAUCUCUUUCCGAUUUUCUUCAAAAACUUCGCCGUGUUCUUGCUAUUAUGGCUUCUUUCACUGAAUCAUUUAAGAACUCUGGUCUUUUCUUCGGUGGAGGCCCGAAGAGAAGCAAAGAUAAAGAGGUUGAUGUCGAUGUUGAUCCUGCUAUGGUAAGCACCAUCAUACCAAAACACUUGAGCACUAUUAAUGACUUCCAAGAUAAGUUUCCCUCUGUGCAUCCACGGACUUGGGUUGUUAGAGGUAUCGUUAUUCUAUUCAUCCUUCCAGUAUUCCUAGUGUGAAGGAGGACUAUAACUACCCAGACCUUAAUAUCAUUGCUCCUGACCUGGUAGAGCAGGUUACCUUCACUAAGAAGGAUUUUACGUGUGUCUAUACGUACCCCUUUACUUUGGGAACAUUUUCUUUGAGCGGGGGACUUGACCCCAUGAUCUUGGAGUGGUACCAUCGGUAACAGGUCUACUUGGCAUAAGUAGGCCCUUCUGUGUGGCGAACGGUAGCCUGUCGACGCCGGCUGUGCACAGAGAUGUGGAAAACCCUAAUCCUAGCACAUAUGAUGAACCUCUAAUCCCCCAAAAUGUUUAGUAGGAGAGUAACAAAUUUAAGCAAAUGUGGUCACCACGCCCUACUUACCAACGUGGAUGAUGACAAUGAUCGUGGGUCGAUGGAGAGGUUUUUCAUCAUUGCUAAUAAGGAUAUCAUUCUGACCACAACUCCAUCCUUUCCUGAAUCAUGGAGUCGUUCACGUAAGUUUAUAAUUUCUUAAUCUUUUUCCUUUGUAAAAAGUCUGCUCCUCAUCAUUCUUGACCCUUUUGUCUUCGUUAUUUGAGCUACUAAGUGAACACCACCAAGGGUUGAAGGCCCAGACCAAUGGAUUCAGAAGAUUCUGGACAUUACAAACCUAGAAACCUACCGUGGACAGAGAUGGCCCCAAAAUAUGGAUGGAAGGCCAAGAACUACGAUAAACAGAUUCUUUCUACUUUCCUCCUUUGUAUGUACAUAAGUAAAUUUGCUAACCAUAUAUUUUUGUUUGAUUCAGGAUUCUCGCAAGGCUCUAUUAUCUGCCCUAAAGUCGAGGUUUUAGCUAAUUCUGAGGAGGCUGCGAGAUUGCUGCAAGAUGCUCUCACUCGGAGCAGUGCCCACGGGAUUGCUUCCGGUGGGGGCACUUCCUCUCAAAGUCCCCAGCCAGAGAACAAGCGACCAAUAAGGCGACUCUCUUUCUCGGUUGGGGAUAAAAAUAAGAAAGUAAAGGAGGGCACACCUUAGCCGGCCGCAAUCGUCAUUAAAGAUUACAGGGAAGCUAGUGAUGAAGAGGCUUCCCUUCAAUGGAGACAACGAUCUUCAUCAGCUCAACUGAAUGCUCAACCGAAUGCUCAACCAGGAGAGCUUUUAGAACUGACCGAUGAAGAGGCCCAAGCACUGUGGGGCGAGAUGGAUCUGGUAGAUAAUGCCAACUUCCGUUGUCCUAUUCCGUUGUUGUUCCUAGUCCAAGGAGUUUGGGGCCCGGGCCUUUUUUCAAUUUGGUUAAUGAGCAAUCGAUAAUUAGCAUUGCUCCUGUUGCACCUAUUUCUCAGCCUACAAUACAAACAACAUGACGCCCCUCUACACCAGUUGCUCCUACGCUACCAGCAUCCAUUGCAUCCUCUCUGUCGGCCACAGAUGCCCGAGAGAAGGGUGCUUCUCUACCCAGUCCCCUGACCACGGUAAUUUGGGGUACAAUUACUCACCCCUUCUCCUAAUCCCCGAGAAAAGAGGAGUGUCACUCUCUCAGUUUCAAACCUGUUGUCCAGGCUGGUGGAGCUUGCCAACUACCUGAAGCUGUUGGCUUCAGAGAAAGAUAAGAAUAAAAUACACUCCUUUAUGGGAAGUUCAUGUUGAACAAUGUCAUGCACAAUGCAGCAGCGGUACCGUACUUGUUCUCUUGUUGCUUGAUCUUUGUUUAUCUAUUAUUAUGGGUUUUCUGACUUGGAUAUAUGUUUUGUAGGCCAACUUAUUUGCCUUCGAGGGCCUUCAGAGAUUGAUCCUUUAUAAGGAGGGACUUAUGUCCGACCGGGAUUAGUUGUUGGUCAAAAGGAAUUAACUUGACAUGUGCCUCCCAGUGCUAGAGGCAAAGGCUACUGAAGCGGCCAAGCUUAAGGCCUGGUUGCAGCACAGUGAGCAGAAAGUGAUGGCCCACAGCCAAGAAGCCACUCAGGUACAUGCACGACUUCAAGAAACUUAGGCUAGAUGGGCUGAGCUUCAAGAUGCUGCUCUUGCUGCUGCCGAGUGCGAGUCUGCCUAUGUUGAGCAAAUAAAUAACUUGGAGGCAGCCUUGAGCUCUAAAAGCGAAGAGGCUGCUACCGCCGAGGAGAAGCAGGCCCAGAUGGAAGAUAGGUUUAAGAAGAUCAUGGAUCAAAACAGGGUUCACAUAUCCGAGCGGGAUGGUCUCCAGGCCGAGGUUGAUAAGCUUAAGUCAAUAAUCCAGUUCCAAGAAUAUUCCCUCGUAUUUGAAAUGACGUACACUAUGUAUCAUAUAAGGAGAAAAACCUUGGAGGAUUCCAAAGUGAGCAUCGUUGGUAUUGAUGACGAAAUCUCCAUAGCCCAAGCAUUGGAGUUAACUGCGGGAGAGCAUCUCCCAACUAAGCCUGACGCAAUUGACUCUUCAAGUACAAGUUCCAAGUAUUCGAGACCUAAGUAGGAACUUGAAGAGAAUAAUGAUGAAGGUCUAGGUCCCACACCGGAGGCAGAUCUACCCACUUUUCUCGGGAGCGUAGAUGCCUCUCUCCCCCCGAGUUUUUUUGGCGAUGAUGUUUAGAUUUUUCCUCUUUUCUUUUGUUAUUUUCCUUUAUACUUUUGUACUUAAGUCGUUUGGAAUUUUGAUAAAUAAAGAAAACUUUAUCUUAAGUAUUGCGUAAAGUUUCAAAUUAGAUAAGGCUUCGGGUGUAUUUUCUUCCGAUAGCUUUUUGUUCCGAGCAUAAAUUCUUCCAGAACCAACCCUUUACUAUAAGGAUUUCAUAAUAGAGGGCCCUCUUAUGUUAUCACAGGCAAUCUCCAUUAGUAUUCUGAAUUGGCAAAUUAUGUAUUCCCAAAAGAAGUUGAUCACUUCGCGCUCACUGAUCUUUUGGCAAGGACCUACUUCAACCCAUUUAAUGAAGUAAUCGGUUAAAAUUAAAAGGAAUCUUACCUUUCCGGGACUCGGUGGCAGCGACCCAAUUAUAUCCAUCCCCCAUUUCAUAAAUAGCUAUGGUGAUAGUACCGAAUGCAAGAGUUCUGGUGGUUAGUGUACCAAUUAUGCAUGGCAGUGACAUUUGUCGCAUUUCUGAAUGAACGACUUUGCAUCUUGUUCCAUCCGGGGCCAGUUGUAUCCUUCCCUAACUAGCUUUAGCACGAACAAAUCUGCACCAGAACAGUUCCGAAAAAUUCCUUCAUGGACCUCUCUCAUCAACGUAGUCCGCCUCCAAGGCUCCUAAACAUCGGGCCAACGGACCUUGGAAUGAUCUCAUAUAUAAUUUUCCACCUAGGCGGCUGUACUGACUCGCUUUGGUGUGUAGUGCUCGGGAGGCCUUCGGGCAGCUUUCCAUGCCGAAGAUAAUUGAUGAACUUAUUCCUCCAGUCCCAAACCAGGUUGGUUGUAUUUACUUCACAAUAGUAGUCCACAUCAAGUAUCGAAUUCAUAAGUUGAACGACACCGGAGUCAUAUCCUUUCAUUUUCGUGGACGACCCAAAAUUACCCAAUGCAUCUGCUUCUACGUUUUCUUUCUCUCGAGAUGUGCGUGAUCGACCACUCCUUGAAUCAUGCAAGCAAAGUUUGAACUUUAAUCACGUACUGUUGCAUGCGUUCCUCCUUCAUGUAGAAAAUCAUGUACACUUUGUCUACUACCAGUUGCAGGAAUCACAUUUGAUUUCUAUGACCUCGGAGCCAAGUCCUUGGGCCAGUUCACCUGCAACCAAAGCUUUAUACUCGACUUCAUUGUUAGUUAACGAAACAAUUUUUAUGGUCUGCCUCAAGGUUUCCCCUGAAGGCAUUAUUAGGACGACCCCGAUUCCGGACCCUUUUCAUAUUGGAAGUUCCAUCCGUGAAAAAAUUCCAAACUCCUGAUGUCGUUUCUGAUGCCAGCACCGCUUCUUUAGCAGCCAAGGGCAAUAACCCAGGACUAAAAUCGGCCACAAAGUCGGCCAAAACUUGUGAUUUGAUUGCAGUCCUAGGCUUGUAUUCAAUAUCGAACUCACUAAUUUCGACUACCCUUUUGGCCAAUCAGACUGACAACUCAAGCUUGUGAAGAACAUUUCGUAAGUGGAAGGUCGUCACAACAACUAUCAGGUGGCACUGAAAAUAAGGCCUAAGAUUUUGAGAGGCGACUAUGGGAGCUAAGGCCAUUUUUUUGUGGUGCGGAUAACGAGUCUCCGCUCCUGAAAUAUUUUUCUAACAUAAUAGAAAGGAAAUUGCGUACCUUCAUCCUCCUAGACUAAAACGGCACUUACUUCUACCUCAGAGAUAGCUAAGUAUAUUAGCAGUUGUUCACCUUCCCCUAGUUUCGAUAAUAGCAGGGGGCUUGAUAGAUAAUAUUUCAGGUCUUUCAAUGCCUGCUGACAUUCCAAAGCCCAUUCAAAAUUGUUCUUUUUCUUUAGAAGAGAGAGGAAUUGAUGAUAUUUUUCGAGGAUCGAAAGAUGAACCUGUUUACAGCGGCCAAUCUUCCGGUUAGCCUUUGGACUUCUUUUAUGCAUGUCAGCUGGUCCAGGAUGUCUUCGAUGUCUUUGGUCUUAUCGGGAUUUACCUCGAUCCCCCUUUGUGAAACCAAGAAACCCAAGAACUUACCGGAGCCAACCAUGAACGCGCAUUUUUUUGGGUUGAGCUUCAUGUUGUGUUUCCUCAAGAUAUCAAUGGUUUCUUGGAGUUGUUUUAAAUUAUCACCUGUAUUCAAAGACUUGACCAACAUGUCAUAUAUAUACACUUCUAUCAUUUUACCUAUUUGCAUCUAGAACAUCUUGUUCACGAGCCUCUGAUAAGUGGCUUCAGCAUUUUUAAGUCUAAAGGGCAUCAUAUUGCAACAAUGUGUGCCAAAGUUCAUUAUGAAUGAAGUUUUCCUGAUCCCCCGGGUUCCUCUUGAUAUGAUUGUACCCGUAAUAGGUAUUGAGGAAACUCGUUAACUUGUGCCCAGCUGUUGUAUCAAUCAUUUGAUAAAUGUUUGGCAACAGGAAUGAGUCUUUAGGGGACACCUUAUUCAAGUCUUCAUAAUCUACGCACAUUCGAAACUUGUUAUUCUUUUUCGGAACCACAACUAUAUUAACUAACCAUUAGGGAUACUUUACCUCCUAGAUUGCACCGAUGUCAAGUAGUCGAGUUACCUCUUCCUUAACGAACUUGUUUCUGACCUCGGCUAUUGGGCAUUUCUUUUACCUCACCAGAGGGAUGCUCUGGUACAGGCUUAGCUCGUGCACGGCCACAUCUAGUGGGAUACCUAUCAUAUCCGAGUGUGACCAUGCAAGAAAAUCAACAUUAGCUUUAAGGAAAUUAAUAAAUCCUAACCUGAGUUUGGGAUUGAGUCAUGUUCCCAAGUGAAACUUUCUCUCUACGAAUUCCUCAAACAAGGCCACUUGUUCGAGUUCUUCUGUUGUGGAUUUAGUCGUGUCGGUCACUUUCGGUACCUGAAAGUAUCUUGGUACAUGGUGGGAUUCCGAUGACUCCUCGCCCUUAUCAUCUUCACUUGACACGGGGGAAGGCGUCGGUUCUUAUAAUUGUUAUUUGCUGGGAUCCUUCCCUUUACUAUCGGGAGUCAACAUUGCAUUCAGUUCUCUUGCUGCCGGUUGAUCUCCUCGUAUCUGGUUGAUCCUCUUUGAGGUCAUCUCAUGUAACCAUGGUCUAUCGAGAAUUAUGUUGUAGCCUAUGUCACUGUCCACCACUUCAAAUAAGGUGGUCUUCGUGGUCCCUUCGACAUUCGUGGGCAGCAAUAUCUCUCCUCGGGUUGUCAUAAUUACCAAGUUGAACCCGGUGAGGAGCUUUGUUGCCAGAAUGAUACUUCCCGUUAAUUUGGAUUGUUCCAGCACUCUCCAUUGAAUUAUGUUGGAUGAUCUCCCUAGUUCAACCAAAACACGUUUAAUCUUGAAAUCUAGAAGUCCAUCGGGGUCCUCCUCCGUGAAAGUGAUGUCGUCUUCGUGGAGUCUCUUGUUAUCUGUCACUGAUACCUUUGUUUUCUUUGCUGCCAAAAAGGUUAUGCUAUUGAUUUCCUUCCCUCCGAAAAUCAUAUUGAUAGCCAAUCGAAAAGGGUCUUCCCCUAUCUUCAAGGGUUUUGCAUUUUCCCAGCUGCGAUCGUAUUUUUUCUUGGCUCAAGAACUUCCUGAAAUGGACGUUAACAGCGUUGCCACCUCCUCGCGUAGAUGCAAACAAUCCCUAGUUUUGUGGCCUUAAGUACCAUAAUAUUCGCACCAUAGGUUGGGAUCCCUAUGGCUGGGAUCAAAUCUGAUUGGCUUCAGGAAUCAUUCUUCUUUGAUAUUCCUCAUCGCUGAUACCAACUCCACUACGCCGAUUUUGCAAUUAUAAUCCGACAACCUGGGGUAAGUGGAAUCCUAGAUCCCUGAUACCUCUUUUUCUUAUAAUGACUUGUUGUUUCAGACGCAGUAAGUUCUUCUUUCGGGGGCGAAUCUAUUUGAGAACCGGAACCCUUUACUGCCCCGUCCCUUAGCUCUCUCGUAAGGCAAAAAGCAACCUUUAGAAAUCGUCGAUGUGCAUCAAUAUCAUCCUUAAUCUUAUCUCAGUUCUUAUCUCUGUCCUCCUCUUAGUUGAUGUCGGGAAAUCGAGAUGAUCAUCUUCUAUACUUAUCUCCGAUUUAUAGCGGUUAUGGACAUCCGCCCAUGUCAUGUCUUGGAAUUCGAGCAGGCUUUCCUUCAAUUUUUGGGAGGCAUUAGAGCUCCUUGGUUUUAAUCCCUUAGUAAAUGCAUCUACUGCCCAUUCCUCUAGUACGACCUUUAGCAACAUCCACUCUUUCUGAAAUCUAAUAACGAACUUCCGCAAUAAUUUGAACUCACCUGUGUGAUUUUGAAUAUGUUCGUCGUCUUGGCUUGAACCUUUCUUGCCCCGGCAUGGGCCUUAAUGAAUGAAUCUACAAGUAUUUCAAAAGUGUCAAUUGAAUGCUCGGGUAAAAGUGAAUACCAUGUCAAGUCCCCCUUCGUGAGGGUUUCUCCAAACUUUUUCAGUAUGAACCAAUUCGAUCUCAUGUCGAGCCAAAUCGUUCCCCUCACAGCCGUUGUAUAAGUUGUGAUGUGCUCCCGAGGAUCUGAGGUCCUAUCGUAUUUUGGGAUGUACAGCAUCCUGAACCUUUUCAGAAUUAACUCUGGUGUUGCGCUCGGUUUGAAUGGUAAUUAAGUAUAUUUUUUUGAAUUCGGACCCUUCAAAACUGGUGGUGCGCUUAGAAUCUGGUCCAUCGAGCGUGAAAAUCAUUCGUGUUCUAGUCCAUCCACUCAUUCAUCUCCCUCAUAAAUCUCAAGAGUUCGGUUUUGAAGGGAUCAUUGUCAUUAUCAUUACCGGAUCCGCUACCGGUCCCCCGGCACCGUCAAAGCCGACCUCACCCCUAGGGGUAUUUUUAUCAACUCUUUGAGCCGUCUGAUUUGCAGGAACGCCAGGCGGAGACGGACCUCUUCCAUUUGCAUUGUUGGAAGCACCUGAUAAUGCUUGCUUCAAUUCUGUCAUGACCUGGUCCUGCCUUGAGAGAUGGCCCAUGAUGACCUUCUAUUGCUCUUUCAAGAUCCUUACUAUUUCUGCAACGAGUUCGUCUUCUGCGUCAUCGGGAGUUGUCUUACGCACAUGUCAUGGGUACUAUCAUCUUCGAACCAGGGUUGCAUCGUCCCCCUCGUUGAGGGUGUCACUAAUUAAAUCCUGGUGUUGAGGUGGGUCCUCAUGUCCCUCAACGUUGUGAGCGACGUUGACAUCGUUAGCUGUCAUUUUUUAUUUUUGCUAAGAAACAAAGAAUCAAACAAGCUAGUAAUAAACGCAAGCAUCAACCUAAUACACAAUAGUCUAAGCCCCAUGGUGGGCGUCAAACUCUUUGCCCGUAAAACGGUACAGUUGAAUUUAUUACGUGAUUUAUAGACAAGCAAACUGAUUUAAUCCAAAAUAAAAAAUAAAUUAGAUUAAAAGAAAGACUUAGCGAUUAGAAUAGAAAGAAAUGACAAGCCUGGCACCGGAAGCAAUGCCUCCGAGGAUAGAAAUAUGAGCAAUGUAAGCAGAAAGUAAAGUAUUUUAUUUAGCUUGAGAAUAGAAUAUUGUUUAAGUUUUGCCAAAGUUUUUCAUGCCUUACAAUGGUUGUUGAGACUACUAUUUAUAGCUAUACCUAGGGAAACAAGAUCCUAGUAUCAAACCCCUCUUAAAUGAAAGUAAAUAGAGAUAUUGAUGAAUAUGUAACGACAGACUAUGAAUGCAAAUAUUCUCUCCAGUGACUGCCCAUUUAAUGCUAGGGAAUAUUCUUCUUUGAAUGCUAUCAGAUAAAAAGAAUUUGGUUCCGAUCACAUUGAUCAAAUUCCAUUCGGGGUCAGUUCGAUGUCAAUCACAAUUGUUGUUACUGGUACUGGUUACUACAUAAUUUAUUUUCUACCUGUCUUCGGUUCCACAUGUCACGAUGUCAUUCAAUCAUUUAAUGUAAACCCAUUAUUACCCUAUACAUGAAUGUAACUAGAGGAGUUUAAAAUCUUGUCUUAGAAACUAAUUCUCCAUACCUUUUUGACCUAUGUAAUUCAUAUUGACAAGAAGUUAAAGGAAUUCACAUAGAAAAAGAAUAUUAGUACUUUUCACAGUAGAAAGGUUCAAGCAUAAAUAGAAAAGCGGCCCCCUGUACUUGUAGUAUUCAUAGGGUGAUAAGUUAUGCUAUUUUGUAUUUUGAUGAUUUGCCAAACGUUCUCAAGGAACCAUAUAGGGACCAGGUGUGAAUCAGUUUCAUCGGUCGUCGUAUAGUCAACUCCACAGUUUUAAAAUUUGUUGCACUAAAAAAAUUCUAUCUCUUCUCACAUGCCUACUCGUAUAUAUAGAACAUAAUACAAGGUUUAACCUGACACUUGAAAACCUCAAAGCAGUUAUAAUAGAGAACUAUGGAAAGCGAGAUAGUAGUAGCAACAAGAAAAAAUAAAGAAGAAAGCAAAGAAAGCAAUAGGUAAUAAUGUUAAUCUAAAAAAGUAAACACAAGGAUAACACUAGUACUACUGAUAUGGACGGAAGUACAAGUAUGGAAAGGAAAGAGGCUCAUCUACUUACUAAUCUACAACGCUAGUUCUCGACCUCCACAUCCCCUAUCAAAGGUCAUGUUAUCGGUAAGCUGAAGAUGUGCCAUGCCAUGUCUUAUCACCUCUCCCUAAUAUUUUUUUUGGCCUAUCUCUACCUUUAUUAGGACCCGCCAUAUCCAACCUUUCACACCUCCCCACUAGGGCAUAUGUGUCUCUCCUCUUCACAUGCCCGAACCAUUUCAGCCCCGCUUUUCGCAUCUUGUCCACCACAUAGGCUACACACACCUUAUCUCGGAUAUCUUCAUUGCUAAUCCUAUCCCUCCUAGUAUGACCACACAUCCAUCUCAGCAUCCUUAUUUUUGCAACGUUUAACUUCUAAAUAUAAGAGGUCUUGACUGGCCAGCACUCCGCUACAUACAACAUAGUCGGUCUAACCACUACUCUGUAAAAUUUACAUUUGAGUCUUGGUGGCACAUUCUUGUCGUACAAGAUCUAGGAUGCGAGCCUCUAUUUCAUCCACCCCGCUCCAAUACGACGUCUGACAUCCUCAUCAAUCUCUCCAUUUCCUUGGAUUAUAGAUCCAAGAUACUUAAAACUAUCUCCCUUGAGUGUGACUUGUGUGUCCAACCUCACUUCAAUGUCAUCCUCCCGAGUCACAUAACUAAACUUACACUCCAAGUUUUAUAUUUUAGUCAUGAUCAACUUGAAAUCUUUAGACUCCAGGGUCUGCCUCCAGACCUCCAGCCUAGGAUUAACACCGCCUCGUGUCUCAUCAAUCAGAACUAUGUCAUCUGCAAAUAACAUGCACCAAGGUACCUCCCCUUGAAUAUGUCGUGUCAACUCAUCCAUCACCAAGGCAAUUAGGAACGGGGUAAGUGUUGAUCCCUGAUGCAACUCCACCUCUACGGGAAAGUGUCCCGAGUCCUCUCCUACCAUUCUAACUCGGGUCUUGCUCCAUCGUACAUAUCCUUCCUUGGUGAAUGCAAUAGGUAUACCUCUAGCCUCUAAGCAUCUCUAUAGAACCUCCCUAGGGAUUUUGUAUGCCUUUUCCAGACCGAUGAACAUUGUAUGUAAUUCUUUCUUCCUCUCCCUAUACUGUUCCACCGAUCUCCUAACAAGAUGGAUGGCUUAUGUAGUUGAGUGCCCCGAUAUGAAUCUGAACCGAUUCUCAGAAAUAGACACACCCCUCCUUAUCCCCAUCUCGACCACCCUCUCCUAGAUUUUCAUAGUAUGGCUUAACAGCUUGAUACCCCUAUAGUUGUUGCAAUUUUGAAUAUCACUCCUCGGGCAUUCUUGCCUUCCUAAAAAUGAAAUUAAACAAUCUCGUAAGCUACUCCAAACUUGCUCUUCCAGUACUCUUCUAAAAUUUCACUGGGGUCUCGUUCGGCCCGGUAGUUCUUCCCCUGCUCAUCUUGCGCAUAGCCCCCGCAACGUCCUCCACCCUUACCCACCUACAAUACCCACAAUCACGACGACUCUCUGAGUGCUCCAAAUCAUCGAGCACAAUAUUUAUAUCCUUCUCUUUAUUCAAGAGUCCGGAAGUAUGUGUGCCAUAUAUGUCUAAUAACUGCAUCUUCCACCAAUACUUUGUCAUCUUCGUCUUUAAUGCACUUCACUUAAUUUAUGUUGCGGACCUUCUUUUUUCUUGCCUUAGCUAGCCUGUACAUCUUCUUCUCUCCACCUGUGACUUCAAGUUCUUCAUAUAAGCACCGAACAAUAUGUGAAAAAAUCACAUAUAUUUCCAUACCAAAGUCCAAACACACAUGUAAUCACCCUAAUUUGUGAUCGAUAGGGGCAGAUACUUUAGUUACGGGGUAGCUAAUACUUUUUAUUCGAAUCUACUCCAUAAUUAUAUGUUUAUUGUUAGAGAAAAAAGGCAAUGAUACUUUGCGCUCACCUAUUUAAACAAGUUUGCUUUUUAAUAAGUGAAGGUAAUAAAUUAUCUUUAUAUUUGAAAAUAAUUUUGCUUAAACAUUUUAUUUUACCAUAAUGAUAAUCUUUUAUAGUCAUACAAAUACUAUGAUAUGUUGAAGAACUCAAUUUAUUGUGAUAUGUUUAAGGCCGUAAAUUCUUUUUAAAUAAUUUUUUUUUUUGAAUUUCAUGUCCAAUCAAAUAGGAUAUUUUGUGUGUGUGGUUGGGGAUUGUGAAACAAUAGAGUAACAACUAGCAGAGUGUCCUCUUUAUGAUAAGGUUGAACAGAAGUGACGUUAAAAAGGGAUUUUUCCUAAAGGUACAAAAGUAGGAUAAUAUUUACCCGCUUUAGCUUGAUUUUGAAUUUUAAAAAGUAGUUAGAGUUUUUUUCUACGAGAUAUGUGAAAAUUCGACUAAAACAUACAACUUAUAUACAACACAACUUUUUAAUAUAUAAAAUUCUGUCACAACAUACAACUUACAUGUUGCAUAUAAAAUUUUUAUUUUUUACAAAAUAUGCAACUUACUACAAUUUGCACACAAUUAUUUUGUACGUAUUUUGUCUUCCUCUUCGACUUUUAGUAUGAAAUUCCAACCAAAACUAUCUAUAAUCUUUAUCAAAUUCCCUCAAAAUCGUUAUAUAAACUCCAAAAAAUAUUUCUAAUCUUUGCAAUAAUACUCAAUCCAAACAAAUAAUAAUUUUGUAAAAUUUGAUUUUUUAAUUUAAAACUUUAAAGCAUUUUAAUGGCUAAAAGCUUUUAAUGGAUUUUAAUUAGAUUUAUUAUUUUGGAUAAAAUGAUUGAGAUCUUCUCUACAGUGUCUAAAGCAUAAUUCUUUAAUUUAAUAGCUUGAAGCCUUAGUUAUUGAUGAUGUAAAGCAAAAAUUUCUAAUUAUAUACAUAAACAUAAAACUGUAGCAUCUAAUUCUAACUGGAUAGAAAGAUUAUAUCUCUAAAAUUCUUUGGAGGCAUAAGAAAGUGGAAAGAUUGAAACCUAAAAUGGGAACAUUGGAGCACAAUUCCCUUACUUUGUAUACAAUUAAUAAAGAGAAUUUUACGAAAAUAUCUUAAAUAAGUUUUAAUUUAUCAACCUCUAACCAAUAAUUAUAUACUUAUCAAAACUAGUCAAGUACAUACAAAAAUUAAAAACCCAAAUAAAUUAAGAUUCUUUUUCUCCAAGUGUAACGACCCGACCGGUCGUUUUAAGUACUUGCACUUCGAUCGCCAGUUCUCGGGCAUGACUAGUCUCGUAUGAUGUAUUAUGACUUAUGUAAAUCGUCGAUUUUGGUCCAGUUCUCGGGCAUGACUAGCCUCGUAUGAUGUAUUAUGACUUAUGUAAAUCGUCGAUUUUGGUUUCCAGGUUAAUCUGAAUAGAUAUGGAAGAAAGAUUCUCACCUUGAAGCUUUAAAUUUGAAAGGUUUGACCAAGUUUUGACUUUUUAGUAUUUGACCUCGGAUUUUUAUUUUAAUGACUAUGUUAGCUCCGUUAGGUGAUUUUGGACUUAAGAGCGCGUCCAGUUUGUGAUUUGAAGGUCAGUAGUGGAAUUAGGCUUGAAUUGGCAAAACUGGGAAUUUAGCGAUUUCCGGUCGGCAGUGGAAAAUUUGAUAUCGGAGUCGUAAUAUAAUCCCGAGAGUUGGAUUAGGCUGGUAAUUUCAUUUGCGACAUUUGUGCAAAAUUUAAGGUCAUUCGGACGAGGUUUGAUAGGUUUCGGCAUCGGUUGUGAAAGUUUGAGGUUUCAAGCCCAUUAAGCUUGAAUUGGUGUGUGAUUUAUGUUUUUGCAAUUAUUUGAGGUGAUUCGAGAGCUCGAUUGAGUUGGUAUGGUAUUUUAGAUUGAUGACACAUUUGGUUGAGGUUCCGGAGGCCUCGGGUGUAUUUUGGGUGAGUUUUGAGCGAGUCCGGGCAUUACCGGAACUCAGGCAUGGUUCUAGUUCUUAAUUUUCGCUGAGGGCGAAGGAAUUUCUGCUGAGGGCGGAAUAAUUCCGCUGAGGGCGGAAUUUGGGGCACUAAGGCGCUCCAGGGAAGAAUCCGCAUGUUCGUUGGUCCGACUUCGGAAGCCUAUAACUUUUGAUAUACAAGAAAUUUUGAGAUGAUUCAAAAACAAAAAUUGUAGCUCUUCGUGUCUAGUUUCCAGAAAGGUAAAGAAAUUAUCCUUUAGACAUCUGUAGUGAAAGAUAUAGCCAAAAUAUGAAGGCCUGUAUCAGAAGCGCGGUCAGCGGAGGAAUUCCGCGGUCAACGGUGGAAGUUCGCUGGGGCGGUGAUUUUUGGCUGUCAGGGGAAAUGGAAAUCCGAGAGGUGCACUAUAAAUAUGAGAUUUAGGGUUUUAUAUCAUAUUUUGACCUAGAGAGCUCGGAUCUUGGAAAUUUUUCGAAGGUAUUUCAAGAAAUUCAUCGGGGUAAGUGAUUCUACCUCGGAUUUGGCUAAAAUACAUGAAUCUAUCAUGGAUUUUAUCAUUUGAAUAGUGAUUUGGGUUGAAAAUUUGGGGAAAUUGUGGAACUUCAUAAAAUGCACUUUUGGAAUUUGAAAGUCGAUUCGAAGUCAGAAUUGAGUGAAACUAGUAUGGUUAGUCUCGUAAUCAAGUGGGAUGUCAGAUUUUGUGACUUUGGUUGGAUUUCAAGACGUGGGCCCGGGGCCCGACUUUUGAGUUGACUUUUUGAAUUUUGGCCUUAAGCUUAGUAUUUUCUUAUGGGAUUGGUCCAUUUUUCUCGUGUUGAUUGUAUCGAAUUGUUUGUGGCUAGAUUCGAGGCUUUUGGAGGCCGGUUCAAGAAAAAAGGGCAUUGUGGAGUAGAGGAUUAACCGGGUUGAGGUAAGUAAUGAUUGUAAAUCUUGUCCUGAGGGUAUGAAACCCCAUAUUUCAUAUUGUUUCACUAUUUUGAGGUGACGCGCAUGCUGAAUGAUGAGCGUGUGGGCAUGUACCGUUGGGGAUUGUGACUCGGUCCAUCCCGUAGCAACUAUAAGUUGCGUAUUUGGUUGAAACUAUAUGAUACUUAUGUGUUUUAGAAAUUUUUUUUUAUAAAUUGAGCUGAAUGCCAUGUUUGGGCCUUGUGCCAAAGUUGUUUCCACCCUGAGGGGCCUUUUCUUACUAUCCUCUUACUGUUUUCAAUUGAAACUCUAUACUUAGUGAUGUUAUACUCAUUAAUUUCAUAACUUAGUUUUUACUAUACUGUUUUGAAACAUAUAUGAAAAUGUUGUUUUGGGCUGAGCACCCUGUUUUUACUGAUAGUCCGAGUGGCUUAAGAGGUUGAUGACUGAGUGAGUCUGAGGGCCUGAUUUGUGAGGAUAUUAUGGGAUCAGGUUGCACGCCAUAACAUGAUGUUAUUGAUUCAUGAUUAUGAUGCCGAGGGCUUGAUUUAUUAUGUCAUGAGGUGGCUUGUUAUGAGGCUGAGGGCCUGUUUGAUUAUCCCACGAGGUGGCUUGUUAUAGAGCUUGGGCUGUAGGUACCCCUCCGGAGUCUGUACACCCCCAAUGAGCACGGGUAGCCUGAGUGAGUGAUAUGAUGUUAGCCCGAGGGGCUAUUUAUGAUAUGAUGUGUUGCCGAGGGUCUGUUCUUGAUCCAUGUUUUUCCCAAGGGGCUGUUCUUGAUUUAUGUUAUGCUCGAGGGGCUGAUUAUGAGUGACUGUGAGGUUUACCCGAGGGAAGGUUUAUGAUUCAUGUUUGCCCGAGGGGCGAUUCACGAGUGAUGUUUUGCCUGAGGGGCUAUUAUAUUUUCAUCAUUUUACUCACUGUUUUACCACUUGUUCGAACACUAUUGAAAGAUGUUUUAAAAGGUUUUACUGAAACCGGAUUUGAAACAAGAUGAUUUGACUCAUAUACUGAUUUAAAGGCAUGUUGUACUUACUGAGUUUUCAUGAUAUGGAUUUUAUGUGUUUCCUACUGCUCAAUCUUUAUUUACUUUUAUUACUUACUGAGUUGGCGUACUCACAUUAGUCCCUGCACCUUGUAUGCAAAUUUAGGGAUUGUUGGAUGUGCUAGCGAGCGUUGAUCUUCAUCCGCCGCGGAUAUCUCGGAGUUGGCAAGAUAGCUGCAUGGCGAUCACAGCCUUGUCCUCCUCCCUCCUAUCUCCCCUUAGAUAUUAGUAGUUUAUUUCCAGACUACUUUCAGUUUUUGUCGUACUUGGGAACAGUUGUAGUUUGCUCAUGACUUAGUAACACUCGAGGUCGGGCUUUUAUUUCCACAUUUUGGUUUUGAACUUACUCCUUUGUUGAAAAUUUUAGUAUGAAAAAGGCUAUUAUCUAAAUCAUAAUGAAAUGCCGUAUUAGUUUGGGAACGUGUCGGCUGGCCUAGUUCCAUGAUAGGCGCCAUCAGGACCAGGCUGGGUUUUGGGUCGUGACAAGUUGGUAUCAGAGCCUAGGUUACAUAGGUCUCACGAGUCAUGAGCGGGUUUAGUAGAGUCUUGCUGAUCGGUACGGAGAUGUCUGUACUUAUCUUCGAGAGGUUGCAGAACCCUUAGGAAACUUCACAUUCUUGAAUUCUUAUCGUGUGACAUUGAUUCAGCUUUAAGUGUAACUCUUUGAAUUCCUUCCACGCAUUCGUAUGUGCACAUGAGCACUCGGUAUCAGCUGAGCAUCGAUGGCUUGUGAUUAUCUGGAUGAGGUACGAGAUGUUAUCUCGGCAUAUUGAUAAUGGGCCAGUUUGGAGGACUUGAGGCCGAGUUUUGUCUAUGGCUUGAGUACUGAGAUUUCGAUUGUGUGAGCAUGUGCGUUUGGGACUUAUAUGUCCGUUUCUAUCCCUGUUGGUGGGAUUUGUGACUGGAUGACUAUGGGGUAAGUAUGAUUUGAUUGCGAGAUAUGUUCAGAUUGUUCGGAUGUGGUAAGAAGAGUUUGCUGGAGAUGUAGCAAGGGCUAUCGGGUGCUUGACUUCUUUCUUGAGUUGGCUUAUGGCAUCGAGCUAUGGGUGUGUUGAAGGACCCCUGUGGAGUGGAGUAGAUCUUCAUGUGGUGUUAUGAGUUCAGACUCAGGGGUUAAGUGACUGUGUCAUAGUUAUGGUUAUGGAAGAGUAUAAAGAGAUACUAGUUUGAGGCUAAGCAAGUGGAUUAUCUCCUGCGGGGUAUUCUAAGAUUUGUAUGAUCCUUUUUUUUGGUUGGGAGUGCUCUUUUACCAGUGAAAUAUACGUGUUCCAAUUUGAGUUUAGAUUUCUUAUGAAAAUGGGCUUGACCGUUACGAGGGUGAAUGCGAGAUUUGAAGAUGAUUUGAAACACUAGGUGGUUUGUGUUGCUUGAGCUUACAAGAGGAUCUAGUUGAAUAUCACUAUGGUAUUAUGGCAGUAAUAGAGUAUGGGAAUUGUGAGUUUUUGUGUGUUUUGAUCCAUGGCUUUGAGCCAAGUGGGGGAGUUGGCUAUUGAUCAGUUAAUUACACGGUUAUAUGUUGUGUUGGCUCCAAUUUGAGGUAUACUAGUGAAUAAGUUAUGGCUUACAGAGGUUGAGAUCGAUGAUGACUUGAUUAAAGGAAAUUUCAGAUAAGGGUUGUGUUAUGCUUUAUGGGUAUAUGAGAAAUAUAUAAUAAUUUCAGUCGUUGUUGGUGAAAGACGUAAUGUGCGUGGAUAAGGAAUUUAUCUGGUUACAUUAAGGUGGGGUUACUUCCUUGGUUGUUGAAGUGCUAAUGGGGCAGAGGUCGUUCAGUCCGAUUGGUAAGCCUAAUUGAGAUUUGAGCAGAGUAGAUGACUUCCGAGAAUAGUUCUAAUGGAUUUAAGGUUUAUAUGUAACAUUCGGGGAUCUUCAGGAUGUGUGUUGGCUAGAAACUGAGAUUUAUAUGGGAGGAUGUCAGGACUUGUGGCAUUUCUAUAUCAUUAUGGAUUCAACAUACCAGUAUCAGGAAGGCGAAUGUAAUCGCUUUAGAUUCGCAGAAGGUCUCUUCAGAGUGGGUAUCUCGAUUGUGCUACUUUUGGGGGUACCUCAGAAGAUUUCAACUACUUAUGAGCCUUAGGGUGGUGUGGUUUUAUGCUAAAGUUUGUGGGGAAAGUUUUAGUUAAGGAUAGUGGUGUACUAGCAAGGAAACAUAUAAAUUUGAAGGUAAUUCGAUAUGGAACUCAAAGAAUUAGGACAGCUUGAUAGUAGGUUGGAUUGGCAUGGUAAUAGAUAGGAUCGGUUCUUAGGUGCUUAUGAUGCAGUGGGUUUCUACAACUGUUUCGUGGCAAUGCUCUUAGGUUUCGAUGGCUUGCAUAGCUUGGUUGAGUUAGGAGUCAGUCCUAAUGGUUUGGUUUUGUGCAAAGGGGAUUUGGAGAGUUCUUAAUGAUUUCUACCACGAUUGGAGGUGUACAUUUUCUACUGGCAUGAGGAGCAUGGGAUGUAUAGUGAUUUUCUUCUAGAUGGGAUCAAACGGAAAAGUUCUUGGCUGGUUGAGUACGUAGUUGCUUGUAGCUCUGAGUGGAUUAUGAAGUUCUCAUAUUUAUCAUAGGAUGGUAUCGUAUAUGCGGUAUGUUGUGUGGGGUUGAGGUUUACAUGUGUUGUCACACCUCCUUUUACACACCCCCGGAAGGGUAUAAGGGAGUUUUUCUAAUUAAAGGACAAUCGAAACGGGAUUUAUUUAUCAAAAGAUUCAGAGUCGCCACUUGGGAUAAUUUAGGGUGUCCCAAGUCACCGGUUUAAAAUCCCGAAUCGAGGAAGUUGACUCUGUUCUACAGCCUGCAAACCAGAAAUUCGGAUAAGGAAUUCUGUUAACCCAGAAGAAGGUGUUAGGCACUCCCGAGUUCCGUGGUUCUAGCACGGUCGGUUAGCAAUUUAUACUUGGCUUAAAUUAUUUAAAUAUUCAUUUUUAGGACCUAUGUGCAUUUAUCUAUUAACCGCUUUUAAAUCACUUGAUUAUUCGUAAUUAAAGAAUUGAGUUACGCGUACAUAUACUCUUUUCCUUUGGCGCGUCAAAAAUCAUGUCACGCGAACGUGUCCAUAAUUAAUAACGCUUUGUUUAUUUAUUUAAGAAAAUUUGGUCGAAGUUGCGCGAACGCAUACCUCGAUUUAUUUUUAAAAGAAUCGUAAUUAUGUCACGCGAAUAUGUACACAAUCAUAAUAAUAGAUUAGGUUGCGCCUAAAGUAACUACGAGGUUCAUUAGAUGUGUAGUUCCUAAUUCGAUGGUUGUGAGCAAAGGGCUCGAGAUUAUGGAGUACCUUUACUAAGUUUCAGGCCCAUUCCCUCUUAAGCUCCUAGUUUCAUGUAUUUGACCAAGCCCAAUUCCUAAAGGAUGUGAACAAGUUUAAACACUAACAGGCUUUGAUUUUCCCCACUCCCCGACUUAACAAUCAUUCACGCGAAUAUGGAAAAGUUUGACAAAACAAAUACUCCGAUUAACCAUCUGGGCACUUGAGGUAAGAAAAGACAUACCAAACAGGAUAAACAAAUACCAAAGGCAUAUAUGAAAAAAAACUAAUUUACAACAUAGUAGUCAAAAAAGGACAAACGCCUAACCAAAAUUGAUUUGAGAACCAUUAAUGGGCCAUUGGACUUGUGAAGGAGUCGACUGAUCAAUUAAAAUGAGAGUAGUCCGAAAUUAGCGAAACCAACGCGAACUAUAAUAGACAUAAGAAAGAAUUUGACCUCUCGUUUUUCAAUUUCAAGAUCCGCUUCUCCCAGGUUAAACUUUUUCCUUUUUAGCGGAUAAUCUACGAAACUUUUAAUGAUAUGAUUCAAGGUUGCGUUGAAAUAACAAUUAUUCACUGUCACGUUAAAGCACUUAACCAAAUAAUGAGACUAAAACAGCAAAUGAAAACAAACCAACAUAACAUACUAUACCAAAUUAAUCGAUAUCCUUCACCAAACUAAAAUAAUGAGAUGAAACAACAUUAAGGUUUUGAGGAAUGCACCUCUACUGCAGCACACUUUUUGAAAGAAGGAUUAAGAAAAGAGCACCCUACAAGCCUUUACGAGCAAAUGAACCAGUGACCGGAAACUCGACGUGACAACCUUGAACAGGCUUCGACCAAAGAUCAACAGAAACGAUCGUCGAUACUCAAUCAGAAAACUCGGGAUUCACCGGAACCAUGACAACGUUCAACGAGGGGCCUCGUCGUGAACUUGAAUCGCUCAAGCAAACUCCGUUCAUGGAAAAGCAAAAAUCUAACACUAGGAAGAUGAAACAGAAAGUUUUAUGUGCUUUGUUCUAUAGUUAUCUUAUGAGUUUUACAUCAGGGAAAUCUCAAAGUAUGUGUGUUCUUGUGUAUAUGUACAUAUCCAAUGGAGAUGGAANNN
rnacentral:lncRNA from 1 species